ensembl:lncRNA
AUGAGAGUCGGGGGGGGGGGGGCAGCCURUGUGGGACCCAAUGUCAGCCCCUGCGUGACCUUGAGCAGGACCCAUCACCAUCCUUUGUCCCGUCAUUUCCUCUUCUGGGCAACGGGGACAAUAAGCCACCCCACGCCAUCACACGGCGAGAAGGGUCUUGGCUUCUGGGUGGGCAGGGGACGCUGGACAUGGGGGCCCAGCCCCUGUGGUCCCGACAGAGACCCACAGACCCACACCCCCGCCAGGCCACCUGCUUCUCUCCCAGGUCUGCCACUGUCGGCCUCGGACCUGGGAGGUCAGACAGGUCACCGCCAUCACCUCUUCAGCUGCAGAACGGCGGAAGCCACCGCGAGGUCAGAGAAACACGAAGCUGGGCGCCGGGUGACCCCAGAGUGUGGAGGACACCGGGCGUGUGGGGACAGGAACGGGCACCAGACUGUGGCACGUGGGCCACAGUCCCGCGUCCUGGGCGAGGCCAUGUCCAGGCCUGGGGCCUGUGUGGGCUGCAACCUUGGAAUUUCUCAUAAGCAAGAGCGUGUGACCACCGACACCUGCCUCUGCAGAGCCAGCUCCCGUGGCCACGGGGGUCAGAGGAGGGGCCAUCAGAAGGUGACAGGUGACAGGCACAGGUGACAGGCCCAGGAAAGGUGAAGGGAGGCCUGGCUGGAGAACUGAUUUGGGAGGACUCUGUGGCCAGGUGGGAGUCUGGGCCUGGGGCAGCUGCCCAGAUCUAAGAAGGGCCUCCUCAGCAGAGGCCAGGAGAAGUUGCGGGGGGCCGGGGGGCUCACAGACACACACACAAGUGCACACUCACAAGUACUGAGCACACUCCUGCUCACACAUACAAGGAGGAGAGCAGGCCAGGCCCAGAAGGACGGCUCCGAGGCAGACGCACGAGGUCCAGGCCGAGGCCUGCUUGGUCCCUCUUCGCUGCCCAGGAGAACCCCCUCCAGGCUGCCCAGGGGAGCCGCGGCUGGCCAGGGUGGGCUGGCUGAGUGGAGCGCGCUCCGUGGCCCCUGAGGCUGUCACGGGAAGCAGCACUUGGUUCUCUGGACGCUGGCCUCUGCAGCCCCAGGCGGCCACUCUAGGACACUCAGCCGCCCACACAGUCCCAAGUCCAGCCACUGACCACAGCUGUGUGAGACCCCAAGCCACACAGCCUUGCUCAGCCCUUCCUGACUUCCUGACGUGCAGAAGCUACGAGAACAAGCUGCUUCUUGUAAGUUUUUUUUUUUUUUUUGUGGGUGGGGAGGGUACUGGGGACUGAACUCAGGGGCACUCGACCACUGAGCCCCAUCCCCAGCCCUAUUUUGCAUUUUAUUUAGAGGCAGGGUCUCACUGAGCUGCUUAGGGCCUCACCAUUGCUGAGGCUGGCUUUGAACUUGUGAUCCUCCUGCCUCAGCCUCCCGUGCCACUGGGAUUACAGGAGUGCACCACCGGGCCUGGCUUCUUCUAAGUUUUAAGCUACUAAAUUUGGGCUGGUUUGUUACACAGCAGUAGCUAACGGAUCAGGAUCCACUGCCAAUCCUGUUGGAUCAAUGGUCAAAAUAACCCACCACCAGCACCCAAAACCAGGCCACUGUGGUCUCCUGCCUGGCCUCCCGCCCUGUCCUUGACUCUGCCAUCCAUGCAGCACCACAGCCAGAGGCUCUGCUCAAAGCCCCCAGUGACUCCCUCGGAGCCCAGACAGGGAGGCACGGCCCUGUGCAACCCCACACCCUCCCUCUCCUCCGUCCCCCCACUCCCCUAACUCACUCCACUCCAGCUCUGGGGCUUCGGGCUCCUCCCCAGACUCACCAAGCACACCCCUUCCUCAGAGCCGCCACCCAUGCUGUGCCCACUAGCUGGGGUCUCCCUUCCCACCGGCUCCCACAUUCUGGAAUGUGAGAUGCCACCCAUCAGCAGGCCUCCCCGACUCCUGCCCCUGCCUCCAGUACCCCCAGCCUUCACGUCCUGCUCCUGCUCCUGCUGAGGCUGGUAAAUCCUGCUCGGCCUUUCGCUGCCUGUCUUUCUUGUGUUUCUGCAAGCCCCUGCCAACAGGGACUUUCUAUGGUUUAUCUUCAGUGCCCAGAGCAGGGCCUGGCCUGCCAUGCAGCUGUGAGUGAGUGGAUGGAUGCAUGCAUGACUCAUCUCACCCCUGAUGGUGACAGGGUGACAGGGAGAGCGCUGAGCCUUUCAAGACAGGUUGCUCACAGGAAAAAAAAAAAAAAAAAAAAAAAUCCAAGCCAGGCACCAUGGCGCACACCUGUAAUCCCAGUGAUUCUGGGAGGCUGAGGGAGGAGGAUCGCAGGUUCGAGGCCAGCCUCAGCAACUUGGCAAAACCCCAUCUCAAACUAAAAUUUGAAAAGGGCUGGGAUAAGGGUCCGUGGAGAGCACUCGCCUAUCGUGCACAAGUCCCUGGACUCAGUCCCGAGUACCAAGGGGAACAAUUCCACUAAGAAGUGCACAGAGGACCUGAAUAGACAUCCCUGCCAAGAAGACCUACAAAGGCCAAGAUGCACGUGGAGAAACGUCUGCACCACGAAUCACCAGAGAGACGCAAAUCAAGCCCCCGGAGAGCUCGUGACCCAUCAGUGUGGCUAUCAUCAAAAUCACAAGAAAUAGCAAAUGCCGGGUGAGAACGUGGAGGAAGGGAGAGUCCCAGACCUGUGGCCAGCACCGGCAGGACAGCCCGCAGAGCGGAGCUUCCUCAAAACACAACACCGAGCUCUGCUCCCCUGACCCCGCCACGGGGCCCAGAGCCGGGGACAGGAGUGCAGCAGGUCCGAGGUGUGCACUCCGCGAUGAUCCCUGCAGCGUCCUUCACGGUCCCAAGAAGCGCCCUCGACCCCAGCAUCCAUCGGGGGAUUAGUGGCUAAAGAAAACGUGGCCUGUCCACAGUGGCCUCCCAYGCAGCCGGAAAAGAGGGUGAUUCUGUCAUGUGCAGCAACACGGGUGAGCGGGAGGAAGUGGYGUGUGGGGACGCGGGGACAGGGAGGGAAAGCCACGUGUGCUCACUGAUAGGCAGAAGUUGAGGAAGUGGCAGCAGUGGAGCAGCCCUGAGCAGAGCCAGGGUGGYGGCUGGAGCAGGGAUGGCGGGGUCAGCGCGCAGGCUGGACAGGAGGGUGACCGCAUGCUCUGCAGCGCCCUAGGAUGGCCAGGGCUGAGGUCAUUGAGAGAGUAUUGCAACAUCGUCAGGAGAGGGAUCCUGAGAGUUCCCAGCGCAAAGAAAGGAUCCAUGGUAAAGUGAUUGGCACUACAGUCACCCUGAUCAGCACACAGUGUGUGCAUGUAGUGAGAUACCACGCCGAACCCCAAAAUGCACAAUCAUCAUGUCUCAAUUAAAAAUCAACAUUUAGAGGUGCAGCGGCGCACGCCUGUAAUCCCAGUGGCUUGGGAGACUGAGGCAGGAGGAUCGUGAGUUCAAAGCCAGCCUCAGCAAGGCACUAAGCAACUCAGUGAGACUCCGUCCCUAAAUAAAACACAAAAUAAAGAGGAUGUGGCUCA